ACACGCUGGCUGCGUGCUUCACACAUUCAGUCGAACGCUGAAGCGACAGCUUGCUGUUGGUGGAUGAGUGGCGAACGGGUGAGUAACACGUGAGUAACCUGCCCCCUGAUUUCGGGAUAAGCCUGGGAAACCGGGUCUAAUACCCGGAUACGACCAUCCCUCGCACGAGGGUUAGUGGAAAGUUUUUCGAUCGGGGAUGGGCUCGCGGCCUAUCAGCUUGUUGGUGGGGUAAUGGCCCACCAAGGCGACGACGGGUAGCCGGCCUGAGAGGGCGACCGGCCACACUGGGGCUGAGACACGGCCCAGACUCCUACGGGAGGCAGCAGUGGGGAAUAUUGCACAAUGGGGGAAACCCUGAUGCAGCGACGCAGCGUGCGGGAUGACGGCCUUCGGGUUGUAAACCGCUUUCAGCAGGGAAGAAGCGAAAGUGACGGUACCUGCAGAAGAAGUACCGGCUAACUACGUGCCAGCAGCCGCGGUAAUACGUAGGGUACGAGCGUUGUCCGGAAUUAUUGGGCGUAAAGAGCUC
rnacentral:rRNA from 1 species